AUGGUGAGAUAUCAUGUUGCGUUACGCUCGAGCAAACCGCUGGAUGAUGUCUAUGAAGCUCAGGAGGGUACCAUGCUGAGGAGGUACCUGGUGGAGUCCACAGCAGGACAUCUUCUGUUUGCCGUGAAGAAGACUCAUUGUAGCAAGAGGACAGUUGAUAUCAAAGUUUUCCGUCUGUCUGUUGACGAUGCCGCCGGCCAAGCCACGUGGGUCCACUACAAGAACACAGCGGGUGAGAUGAUUUACCUGGGUCGGGCUUCUUCCAUAUCUAGUGUCACUCAGUCGGAGCCCACUAUUCAUUUUCUUGAUGACCGUUUGGUGAAGAGCGAGGAGGAGGCGGAUCACUACUACAUGAGGGACAUGGGAGGGUUGCGACCCCAUGUCCUCCAGGUCAGUUGGUACAGUUACCGAACACCAGACGAAGAAUCCAGGUUCAGCUAUCGAGCACCAGACGACAUAGGAGCGACUGACGUACCAACACCAGUUUGGUGCGACCCCCAGUCUGAUGGAUCUGCCAUGUGA
rnacentral:rRNA from 1 species